rnacentral:rRNA from 1 species
AUGAAACACUCCUACGGGAGGCAGCAGUGGGGAAUUUUGGACAAUGGGCGCAAGCCUGAUCCAGCAAUGCCGCGUGCAGGAAGAAGGCCUUCGGGUUGUAAACUGCUUUUGUACGGAACGAAACGGUCUGGGUUAAUACCCUGGGCUAAUGACGGUACCGUAAGAAUAAGCACCGGCUAACUACGUGCCAGCAGCCGCGGUAAUACGUAGGGUGCAAGCGUUAAUCGGAAUUACUGGGCGUAAAGCGUGCGCAGGCGGUUUUGUAAGACAGUUGUGAAAUCCCCGGGCUCAACCUGGGAAUUGCAUUUGAGACUGCACGGCUAGAGUGUGUCAGAGGGGGUAGAAUUCCACGUGUAGCAGUGAAAUGCGUAGAUAUGUGGAGGAAUACCGAUGGCGAAGGCAGCCCCCUGGGAUAACACUGACGCUCAUGCACGAAAGCGUGGGGAGCAAACAGGAUUAGAAACCCUGGUAGUCCGAAGUUC